AUUGAACGCUGGCGGCAGGCUUAACACAUGCAAGUCGAGCGGAGCGAGGGUGCUUGCACCUUAGCUUAGCGGCGGACGGGUGAGUAAUGCUUAGGAAUCUGCCUAUCAGUGGGGGACAACAUUCCGAAAGGAAUGCUAAUACCGCAUACGCCCUACGGGGGAAAGCAGGGGAUCUUCGGACCUUGCGCUAAUAGAUGAGCCCAAGUCGGAUUAGCUAGUUGGUGGGGUAAAGGCCUACCAAGGCGACGAUCUGUAGCGGGUCUGAGAGGAUGAUCCGCCACACUGGGACUGAGACACGGCCCAGACUCCUACGGGAGGCAGCAGUGGGGAAUAUUGGACAAUGGGCGGAAGCCUGAUCCAGCCAUGCCGCGUGUGUGAAGAAGGCCUUUUGGUUGUAAAGCACUUUAAGCGAGGAGGAGGCUACUGGUACUAAUACUACUGGAUAGUGGACGUUACUCGCAGAAUAAGCACCGGCUAACUCUGUGCCAGCCGCCGCCGUAAUAC
rnacentral:rRNA from 1 species